CAAAAUUCGUUGAUGAGAACAAUGUCUGAUGCAGUUUUAUUUGCAGAGAGCCUGUGGUCGGUGUAAACAGGUAAUGAACAAAUCAGGAUAUCCUCUCUAAGAAGCAGGCUGAAAGCAAGCGAUAGUGAUGCAUUGCCGGUAAGUUUUGUCGGUUUCCACCGUUAUAUGGAUAGCAUAUGUUGGUAUGUGAAGAGCUGUAAUGAUUUUUACAGAAUCAGGGUGGUAACGCGGAUUAUAUUCGUCCCUUUU
rnacentral:ncRNA from 1 species